GGAGCAUGUGGUUUAAUUCGAAGCAACGCGCAGAACCUUACCAGCCCUUGACAUGCCCGGCUACCUGCAGAGAUGCAGGGUUCCCUUCGGGGACCGGGACACAGGUGCUGCAUGGCUGUCGUCAGCUCGUGUCGUGAGAUGUUGGGUUAAGUCCCGCAACGAGCGCAACCCUCGCCCUUAGUUGCCAGCAUUCAGUUGGGCACUCUAAGGGGACUGCCGGUGAUAAGCCGAGAGGAAGGUGGGGAUGACGUCAAGUCCUCAUGGCCCUUACGGGCUGGGCUACACACGUGCUACAAUGGUGGUGACAGUGGGCAGCGAGCACGCGAGUGUGAGCUAAUCUCCAAAAGCCAUCUCAGUUCGGAUUGCACUCUGCAACUCGAGUGCAUGAAGUUGGAAUCGCUAGUAAUCGCGGAUCAGCAUGCCGCGGUGAAUACGUUCCCGGGCCUUGUACACACCGCCCGUCACACCAUGGGAGUUGGUUUUACCCGAAGGUAGUGCGCUAACCGCAAGGAGGCAGCUAACCACGGUAGGGUCAGCGACUGGGGUGAAGUCGUAACAAGGUAGCCGUAGGGGAACCUGCGGCUGGAUCACCUCCUUUCUAAGGAAGCUGUGGAACUGGUAAGACGAUCGGCACAUGUCCUCGGACAUGGCCCGAUAUGAACCUUCCCGUGCUUUUUAGAACAUAGAUGGCGCCAGUCAGGUGACCAUCGAAACGUAAUACGCCGCGAUGACUUCGGUCACGACGGUAUGGCGAGCUUUCGCCGUCCACGUUUCUCUUUCUUCAAAAGGAUAUCGAACCAUGGGUUUGCGCUCGCGCGCUGUUCGCACCUUCGGUGCUGCGCUCCGCGAGGGCGCCGGACGACCGGCGACGGCCUCUGGCCUGUAUGGGCGACCCUUUCCGAGGUUUUGCUUAGGAUUGGCGUCGACGCAGAGAGAUGGGCCCGUAGCUCAGUUGGUUAGAGCACACGCUUGAUAAGCGUGGGGUCGGAAGUUCAAGUCUUCCCGGGCCCACCAUUUGCACCAGCAAAUGAGGUUUGCUGUAGCGAAUUGUGGUUUGUUUGGGUUUACCUGAUCCUGGCGGUUUGCUGUCAGGUGUUUGCGAUGGUUGGGGCUGUAGCUCAGCUGGGAGAGCACCUGCUUUGCAAGCAGGGGGUCAGCGGUUCGAUCCCGCUCAGCUCCACCAAAUCUUGUCCUGACGCUGUCGCGCUCUUCGAGCGCACGCUUCGGACGGACCGGCCAACGAUGGCCGACGGCCUCUGGCCUGUAUUUGGUGGAUCGUUGCUGGCGGUGAAAAAAGAUAUCCUUUGAAGAAAUAAAAGUUUUGCAUCGGCUUAUGGCUGAUGCGUGUUCUGCAUACAUUGUGAAGAGAAGAUUGAUCUGGAGGCUUCCAGGUGUUUUGGGUUCUGCCCAAGGCGUCCGAGCCCAGUUCCUGUGAACCCAUGGAUGGCCUAGCCGGCCGGAUGUGGUGGAGGGAUUGGAGGUAGGUAGGAAGCUUGUCGCUCUGGAUCGUCAGCGUAAACCGCAUAGCGGUUUAUCGCGUGUUGUUCGUUGCCUUCGGGCAUCGUCUGACGGACGAUCGGAUUACCGUUGCCUGACCGCGCGGUAUCGGAUCAUAUCUCGAGAAGCUGGUCUUAAGACAGGCUGCAAGCGAGCUGCUCGGCGUAGCUCCAAUAAAGCAGACCUGUCGAACACGUUAAUGGCAUUGUUGGAUUGACUGGGUUGUAAAAGGUAACCCGGUCUGUUGCCGUUCCUUAUGGGGCGGGCAACGAGACGAUGAGCAUUGGCAAUGAGAACGAUUAAGUGUCGUAAGGGCAUUUGGUGGAUGCCUUGGCAUGCACAGGCGAUGAAGGACGUGAUACGCUGCGAAAAGCCGUGGGGAGCUGCGAAUGAGC
rnacentral:sRNA from 1 species